rnacentral:rRNA from 1 species
AUUGAACGCUGGCGGCAUGCUUUACGCAUGCAAGUCGAACGGUAACAGGCCGCAAGGUGCUGACGAGUGGCGAACGGGUGAGUAAUGCAUCGGAACGUGCCCAGUCAUGGGGGAUAACGCAGCGAAAGCUGCGCUAAUACCGCAUACGAUCUAUGGAUGAAAGCGGGGGACCGAAAGGCCUCGCGCGAUUGGAGCGGCCGAUGUCAGAUUAGGUAGUUGGUGGGGUAAAGGCCCACCAAGCCAACGAUCUGUAGCUGGUCUGAGAGGACGACCAGCCACACUGGGACUGAGACACGGCCCAGACUCCUACGGGAGGCAGCAGUGGGGAAUUUUGGACAAUGGGCGCAAGCCUGAUCCAGCAAUGCCGCGUGCAGGAAGAAGGCCUUCGGGUUGUAAACUGCUUUUGUACGGAACUAAACGGUCCGGGUUAAUACCCUGGGCUAAUGACGGUACCGUAAGAAUAAGCACCGGCUAACUACGUGCCAGCCGCCGCCGUAACAC